rnacentral:rRNA from 1 species
AUUGAACGCUGGCGGAAUGCUUUACACAUGCAAGUCGAACGGCAGCACGGGGCAACCUGGUGGCGAGUGGCGAACGGGUGAGUAAUAUAUCGGAACGUGCCCAAUCGUGGGGGAUAACGUAGCGAAAGUUACGCUAAUACCGCAUACGAUCUACGGAUGAAAGCGGGGGACUCGCAAGAGCCUCGCGCGAUUGGAGCGGCCGAUAUCAGAUUAGGUAGUUGGUGGGGUAAAGGCUCACCAAGCCAACGAUCUGUAGCUGGUCUGAGAGGACGACCAGCCACACUGGAACUGAGACACGGUCCAGACUCCUACGGGAGGCAGCAGUGGGGAAUUUUGGACAAUGGACGCAAGUCUGAUCCAGCCAUUCCGCGUGCAGGAUGAAGGCCCUCGGGUUGUAAACUGCUUUUGUACGGAACGAAAAGGUCUCUCUUAAUACGGGGGGCUCAUGACGGUACCGUAAGAUAAGCACCGGCUAACUACGUGCCAGCAGCCGC